rnacentral:lncRNA from 1 species
CUUCCUAGGGACAUCUGGGUACUCACCACCAUGAACCCUCCUUGUUACCUAGUCUCUCUGGGUCUGAGGAUUGCAGCAUGGUUACCCUUUGUUUUAUAGCCAAUAUCCACUUAUUAGUGAAUACGGAUCAUGUUUGUCUUUGUCAGUCUGGGUUGCCUCACUCAGUAUAAUUUUUUUUCUAGUUCCAUCCAUUUGCCCUGAAGGUCAUUUUAACAUGCCUGUAUUUUGACAGUGAGUUGUCUCAAGAGGCUAAAUGUGAAUUUCCCUAUAUGAGGCAUCACAUUAACACACAAAAAAAGUUUGAAAUUUUGGAGUAGUUUGGGUUUGAGUCUUUGGAUUAGAACUGUCCACAUGUGGUUUGGUUGCUUUAAGUCUGGUUAUCUGAGAAACUACAUACAUCUUUUUUUUUUUUUUUUGAAACUGCAUACAUCUUACCUGUUCUUCUUUCAAGCAAAACUCUGCUACUAGCUGAGUAUUCAUCUUUAAUUUGGGCUAUGAAAAGCUUCCAUGAGUCAAACAAAACUCCAAAGUAGAAACUGUCUGGCCACUGUCUAACUGUUGUAGAUUAACUGAUAGACACAGUUAUAUGUAAUGUUUUCUACAUUGAUUUUACUCCUUAAGAGUGUAUGGAGAGCUGAGUGGUGGUGGUGCAGGCCUUAAAUCCCAGCCUUUAAUCAGAAAAUACAGGCAGGUGGAUCUCUGUGAGUUCAAAGCCAGCCUACUCUACAAAGGGAGUGAGUUCAAGGGCAGCUAGGGCUGUUACACAGAGAAACUCUGUCUCAAAAAAUAAAACAAAAACAAAAAAGAGGGGGCUGGAGAGAUGGCUCAGAGGUUGGGAGCACUGACUGCUCUUCCGGAGGUCCUGGGUUCAACAACCACAUGGUGGCUCGCAGCCGUCUGUAAUGAGAUCCGGUGCCCUCUUCUGUCGUGCAGGCAGACAGAACACUGUAUACUGGUUCAUGGAAAUUCCAGGACUAAAGGCAAUUUUGAAUAUGUCUUUAUGAAGACUCUUAGUAGGUGCUGAGUUUCUCUGCCUUCCAUUAGGAAAACCCAUCUCAAGUUUGUAUGUAGCAGUUCACCAGGAAAAAGAAAAUGGCUUUUUCCUGUAGUCCCUGCAAUAUUUCUAGGGUCCUUCUGCUUAAAUUGGCAUUGGCCACACACUUGACUCACGUUUGGAAUCAUAAGGCAC